CAAUAACACAGCCAGUCUGCCAUGAGGAGGAUAUUGGUGGUUCACUUUUUGAGUAAUGGGUGUUGAAAUCUAGAAUUAAUGGCUCAUCUGAUUCAAGCCCUGUGUCAUGACUCCAUACUCAUCUCUGUGUUGGUUUGAAGACUUCUAAUGGAUGCUCAUAAGCUGAUUCAAGCUUUCUUCUCUGGUCAUGAGGUCUGAGAAUGUCCC